CUUGAUUUCUUGUCUGCAUCUAUGCAUGCCCUCCCCUUCUAACCUUGCCCAGACUUUCCGUGACUGUCCAAUCACAAACUUCCCAAUGCAGCUCAAUGAGAAGUCAUUGCAAGGCAGGUAAUCUGAGCAAUUUCUUCCUCUUGAGCUUAACUCUACUAAGCUAACCAAACCAGAAAACAAGGUUAAUUCAUGAUAGUGCCAAUUCUAUUGAAAU